GACGUAGGGUGCAAGCGUUGUCCGGAUUUAUUGGGCGUAAAGAGCGUGUAGGCGGCCUGACAGGUCUGCUGUGAAAACUCGAGGCUCAACCUCGAGAUGUCGGCGGAAACCGUCUGGCUAGAGUCCGGAAGAGGAGAGUGGAAUUCCUGGUGUAGCGGUGAAAUGCGCAGAUAUCAGGAAGAACACCUAUGGCGAAGGCAGCUCUCUGGGACGGUACUGACGCUGAGACGCGAAAGCGUGGGGAGCGAACAGG
rnacentral:rRNA from 1 species